AGGUGGGGGUAGAUUGUGAUGAGACGCACGGCCUGAGCCCUUCCUAAUGAUUAGGGCGGUCACAGCCAAUGGUGUGCGUUGCCGUUCUAUUUAGUCUGGAGUAGCCUUAUGUUGGCAGACGCCGUGAUUGGUCUCCAUGUGACUUCCUGUUUUGCCCCUCCAGUCGACUUUCUACCGCGCUUUCAUCUGUUGCUUGGCGGUGUUCGGUCUGGGUUAGUGGUUUUGGUGCUGGUUGUCAAUGUCCGUGGAUUGUAGAGGCAAACAUUCAGCGGAGCUUCGUGAGCUCGCCGCUGACUAAGUGGGAAGCUGUCAACUUCCUGGUACUUCGGGUCGUAUCUGUGUCUCCUGCUGUUUUUGCCAUAUUCGUUGCUUACACCGAGGCGAUAUCUGCCCUGACCGGGCCACUACUCUGAAGAUAACGGCGAAGACGUCGGCAACCACAGUUCGAUACAAAUGUUGUCUUGUCCGUGUGUGUUGUAACUUGUCGGUGUCAUUACGAACGCAUGUCUGUGAGUGGAUUUAUGUGUACGUGUGUGUGCGCGAGUGUAUUUGUGCCCUGGGGAAAACGUGGGUAGCUUCAGGAAUCUGGCUUAAUGUUUUGCCUUAGCCUUGUAUUACCUACAUGUUAAACCCCUGGCAGGAGGCCCGUCAUAGCUGUGGAUAGCCAGUAGGCCAUCACGUAUGUAACCAUUGAAGCCUGAUUUAUGUCUGUCUGUUGGUUUUCUUUGUUCUUUAUUUUCUCUACUUGUAUGUUGGUCAUUGUCUUGUUCUCUUUUGAUUUAUGUUUUUGACACUGGUGGGAGGCCUUCUGUAACUGCUGUAGAUCGCUAGUGAUCCCAUUGCAGGCCACCCUUUGUCCUUAUAUUUUGGUUUUCUUUCUUUUUGUUUCUUUUGAUUUGCUGCAUGCUGUGCGUUGGAUACUAGCACUGGUGGGAGGCCAUCUUGAAUUUGCUGCGGAUCAUCAGUGGUCCGCUUAGCCGCCCAA